rnacentral:rRNA from 1 species
GACGAACGCUGGCGGCGUGCUUAACACAUGCAAGUCGAGCGGUAAGGCCCUUCGGGGUACACGAGCGGCGAACGGGUGAGUAACACGUGGGUGACCUGCCUCUAGCUCUGGGAUAAGCCUGGGAAACUGGGUCUAAUACCGGAUAUGACUCCACGGCGCAUGUUGUGGGGUGGAAAGCCUUGUGUGGCUAGAGAUGGGCCCGCGGCCUAUCAGCUUGUUGGUGGGGUGANGGCCUACCAAGGCGACGACGGGUAGCCGGCCUGAGAGGGCGACCGGCCACACUGGGACUGAGACACGGCCCAGACUCCUACGGGAGGCAGCAGUGGGGAAUCUUGCGCAAUGGGCGAAA